CCCCUACCUGACAGAGGCAGUAGCGCUACCAGCACCAUCAGUAACACCGUCCACCACCUACAGAGUUUCAUCACCCCCCCAGCAAGACUGUGUGGGUAGUGACUAUUGACCAGCAGCAAAUCACAAACGUACCAUCAAUGGCUUGAGACUAUAGAAAUCUACUCAAUAUGAAGUACUUGGGAUAAUGGAGUCAUGUAACUACAAUACCUGGUUUAUAUUUUUCUCGUGGCUAAACUAAUCACCUUAUCAAUCAGAAAAAUUACCAACAAAUGGUUGAAGUGACAUCGUACAAGAGGGGGAACUGAAGGAAUGAAAUACUACUGUACUGCAUAAUUAUAUAACACAUCUUGAUUUUAUACCUCAACCUAAGUUAAUUUUUACCACAUAUGGUUUGGUCGCUAGUUUAGUGUUUUACCAAUUUGAACCAACCUCUAACCUAACAUCAGAUCUAGUUAGCUUUGAGUCGUUCACAUCAACUGUCAUCACAAAUGGUUUAAUGACACCACCUUGAGCAACCUUUGACAAAAAGAAAUGAUAAGAUCGUGCCACUUCAUAUGAAUAUUUAAUAAAACAAUAUUUUUGUA